rnacentral:rRNA from 1 species
UACGUAGGGGGCAAGCGUUGUCCGGAUUUAUUGGGCGUAAAGAGCGUGUAGGCGGCCAGAUAGGUCCGUUGUGAAAACUGGAGGCUUAACCUCCAGCUGUCGAUGGAAACCAUCUGGCUAGAGUCCGGAAGAGGAGAGUGGAAUUUACGGUGUAGCGGUGAAAUGCGUAGAUAUCGUAAGGAAGACCAGUGGCGAAGGCGGGUCUCUGGACAGUUCCUGACGCUGAGGCACGAAGGCCAGGGGAGCAAACGGG